GGCCCCAUCGUCUAACCCGGACAGGACAACGGGCUCUCAAUCCGUAAGUAGGGGUUCAAAUCCCCUUGGGGCCACCA
rnacentral:tRNA from 1 species